rnacentral:rRNA from 1 species
CCUUAAAGGUGAAACCGCGAACGGCUCAUUACAACAGCUAUUAUUUACUUGAUCUUGAUAUCCUACGUGGAUAACUGUGGUAAUUCUAGAGCUAAUACAUGCACCAAAGCUCCGAUUCUUGACGAGCGCAUCUAUUAGAUUAAAACCAAUCGGAUUUCGGUCCGUCAUUUGGUGACUCUGAAUAGCUAUGGCUGAUCGCAUGGUCUUGUACCGGCGACGUAUCUAUCAAGUGUCUGCCUUAUCAACUUUCGAUGGUAGUUUAUGUGCCUACCAUGGUUGUUACGGGUAACGGAGAAUAAGGGUUCGACUCCGGAGAGGGAGCCUGAGAAACGGCUACCACAUCCAAGGAAGGCAGCAGGCGCGCAAAUUACCCACUCUCGGCAUGAGGAGGUAGUGACGAAAAAUAACGAGACCGUUCUCUAUGAGGCCGGUUAUCGGAAUGGGUACAAUUUAAACCCGUUAACGAGGAUCUAUGAGAGGGCAAGUCUGGUGCCAGCAGCCGCGGUAAUUCCAGCUCUCAAAGUGUAUAUCGUCAUUGCUGCGGUUAAAAAGCUCGUAGUUGGAUCUGCGCCUCAGGACUCGGUCCGCCCACUGGGUGAGAACUGGGCUCCUAGGCUAAUACUGCUGGUUUUCCCUAUGUUGCCUUUACCGGUCGCGUAGGGUGGCUAGCGAGUUUACUUUGAAAAAAUUAGAGUGCUUCACGCGGGCUAUUGUCUGAAUACUCGUGCAUGGAAUAAUAGAAUAGGAUCUCGGUUCUAUUUUGUUGGUUUUCUGAUCUGAGAUAAUGGUUAAGAGGGACGGACGGGGGCAUUCGUAUCGCUGCGUGAGAGGUGAAAUUCUUGGACCGUAGCGAGACGUCCGACUGCGAAAGCAUUUGCCAAGAAUGUCUUCAUAAU